GAUGAAGAACGUAGCGAAAUGCGAUAAGUAGUGUGAAUUGCAGAAUUCAGUGAAUCAUCGAAUCUUUGAACGCACAUUGCGCCCCUUGGUAUUCCAUGGGGCAUGCCUGUUCGAGCGUCAUUUGUACCCUCAAGCUUUGCUUGGUGUUGGGCGUCUUGUCGUAUUACGACUCGCCUUAAAUACAUUGGCAGCCGGCACUUUGGCCUAGGAGCGCAGCACAUUUUGCGAUCGUAGCCCGUUGUACUGGCGUCCAUCAAGAACAUUUACCACGUUUGACCUCGGAUCAGGUAGGGAUACCCGCUGAACUUAAGCAUAUCAAUAAGCGGAGGA
rnacentral:misc_RNA from 1 species